AACGGGUGAGUAAUACAUAAGUAACCUGCCCUAGACAGGGGGAUAACUAUUGGAAACGAUAGCUAAGACCGCAUAGGUACGGACACUGCAUGGUGACCGUAUUAAAAGUGCCUCAAAGCACUGGUAGAGGAUGGACUUAUGGCGCAUUAGCUGGUUGGCGGGGUAACGGCCCACCAAGGCGACGAUCAGUAGCCGGCUUGAGAGAGUGAACGGCCACAUUGGGACUGAGAGACGGCCCAAACUCCUACGGGAGGCAGCAUG
rnacentral:rRNA from 1 species